rnacentral:rRNA from 1 species
CUAGCUGUAAACGAUGUAGACUUGGCGUUGGAGGUGUUAAAUCCUUCAGUGCCGAAGCAAACGCGAUAAGUCUACCGCCUGGGGACUACGGCCGCAAGGUUAAAACUCAAAGGAAUUGACGGGGCCCCGCACAAGCAGCGGAGCGUGUGGUUUAAUUCGAUGAUACACGAAGAACCUUACCAGGGUUUGACAUGCUAGUGGUAGGGAUCCGAAAGGUGACCGACCCCUCGGGGAGCUAGCACAGGUGCUGCAUGGCUGUCGUCAGCUCGUGUCGUGAGAUGUUCGGUUAAGUCCGCUAACGAGCGCAACCCUUGUUGUGUGUUACAUGUGUCACACGAGACUGCCGGUCUUAAACCG